CCUACGGGAGGCAGCAGUGGGGAAUAAUGGACAAUGGGCGCAAGCCUGAUCCAGCAAUGCCGCGUGUGUGAAGAAGGCCUUCGGGUUGUAAAGCGCUUUUGUCAGGAAAGAAGUCGUGCUGGUUAAUACCCGGCGCCGUAAUGACGGUACCGUAAGAAUAAGCACCGGCUAACUACGUGCCAGCAGCCGCG
rnacentral:rRNA from 1 species